GCUGAUUUAGCUCAGUGGUGCAGCACUUGCCUCGUAAGCACAAGGUCCUGAGUUCAAGCCUCAGUAACACCA
rnacentral:tRNA from 1 species